AAUAUUCCUCUGCAGCUACACCCAAACUUCUGACUCAGCGGUACCUUGGGGGUUUUGUCUUCUUGAACCGUAUGGGCAUGGUCGAAUUGUAUUUAUGCGCAUCUGGGGUUUCAUUUCAUGGAGAGAUGGCUCAGUUGACUAAGAGCACUCACUCUCAUUUUAAGAAGUCAGGAAAUUCCACUCCUCAAGUUUUUCGGCACAACUCUCCCUCGUUUCGAAGUUGGGUGAUAGAAAACCCUAACCUAGAAAGAAAAAAAGAAAAACAAGUAUCAGUCAGUCAUACAAAACCCUAACUUACAAAAUCAUUGCCAACAAUGACGACCGGACUUCCACAGGAGAUGAUCAUCAGCAUACUCUCUAGGUUACCGGUGAAGUCUGUCUUAAGAUUUAGGUGUGUAUGUAAGACAUGGUGUGAGUUAUUCAAAACCCCUAAUUUUAUCCAAAUGCAUCUUAAUCGUUCUACUGAAAACAAUUAUUUUAGUUUCAUGCUGACUACACACGACAAAACCUACUCCUUAGGUUUAGAUGAAUAUGAUGAAUCGUCUUUGACAGAAUUGUUUGAUAAAGCUUUUGAGAUAGAUUACCCAUUCAAAGCUUCUAGAAGAGGUGUUCGAAUUGAGGCUUUUUGUGAUGGUCUGUUUUGCUUAGAGAUUCGCCACUACGAUUCCCAGAGUACUUUGCUUUGCCUUUGGAACCCAUGUUCUCGUGAAUACAAGAAAAUACCAACACCACUAAUUGAAUAUCCUAGCAAUUUAACACCAAUGCAGAAGGAAACUUUGCGGAUGGGAAUCGACUUUCACCAUAAAUACUCAUAUGGAUUUGCUUAUGAUCAUAGCAUCAAGGAUUAUAAGUUAGUCAGGAUAGUGCACCUUAGUGAACAUUCUGAAGUUAAUGUCUAUAUAGUGGGAUUAAAUGCAUGGCAUUCGAUUCCAAGCAUCCCGUAUAGUUACAUUUAUGCUCAACCAUCUGGUGUACUUGUAAAUGGAGCUCUACAUUGGACUGCAACGAAAAAUACUUCCGACUCCAAUUUCUUGAUUGCUUUUCAGGUUGAGAGUGAAAAGUUUGAUGAAGUGCCGCUGCCCCAAGCAGAAUAUGUCAACCAUAUUAGUUUGUGUGUUUCUGGAGGAUGCCUUAGCGUACUUGCUCACUAUCCCAAGAGUUAUACUGAUAUAUGGGUGAUGAAGGAGUAUGGAGCAAAAGAGUCUUGGACUAAGCUCGUAAGCAUAACUCAACAGACAGUUCUUGACUCCUAUUUCUUGGCACCAAUACACUUCUUUCAGAAUGGUGUGAUCCUUUUAGAUCAAAAUUACCAUAAGGGUCUACUUUCAUACGACCCGAAACAUGAAAACGAUAUAACUGAUUUUGGUUAUAAGCCUAAGAUUGUACCUUAUGUGGGUAGCUUAGUAUCACUUAACUCUGGUGCUUAUGUUGUUCAAGAACUAUCAGAGGAAGCUAUCGAACAAAAGAAGAAGCAUAAGAGGGAAAACAAGAGAAAGCAUUCAUGAAAAGCGAUCAUAUGAAAAGGAGCCGUAGCAAUCAUCUGUGGUCUUUUUUGAACAUACACAACAUUAUAUCCAGAGUGAAUCAAAGUUAAAUAUUCGGGUAUUUUAAUUCUUCGGAGUGAAUCUAAGUCAAAUGUUUGGAUGAAGAACUGAAGCUGUAUUCGAACUAAUAAUCAGAAGCUUGUCAGGUGCCGUUGCCAGAUAUAGCAACUAUGUCGGCAGUAAAGAAUAAGGUUUCGGGACAUUGCAGGGACUUUUGUCAAGCUACUACAAAAGCCUGGAAAGAGUGACGGUGAAGGAUUAUUACAGGGGGAAUGGAAAUGCCAGGUUUUGAAAUUUGGAGCAUUGUGGGGUUCUUUCCCUGCAGGGGUUUACUUGUGUAUGUUUCAACAGUUUGGACAGUUUGAUUGCGAGGCCAACAUUUCCUCUUUGUCUAUAGUUUAAACUGCUAAUUUGAGAUGAGAUUGACAUUCAGCGACUGGCCCCACAUAGAAGUUUUUGUUUUUACCUCUUUUACAGUUUAGACAGUGCACUGGCAAACCUGUUUUGUUGCGGAGGCUAUUACUGAUGCAAAUCCUUUUCGAUUCUCUAGUGAAAAUCAUGUACUAUGGAUGUUAUUAGAAGCUCAUGGGACCAAUUUUGUCCUGGGUAUAGGCCUAUAUCACCUGGGUUGUUGCCAAGCUAAAAAAUCUUAAGCAACAA